UUCAAGGCAUUUAUAAACUGAAUGGGAC
rnacentral:piRNA from 1 species